GCCGGGCGUUCACUUACUUGGAUGCAGCCUCCUCCUCGUAUUUCCGCCGCAGCUCCAGCAGCUCGGUCUGCGUGGCCUUCAACGCUGGGAGAAAGUAAAGAGCCAAGCAAAGUUUCUGUCAGGAGGGCUUUGCUGGGAAUGCUCGGGAGGCGGAUCCCCUCGGUCAGCGUGGGCCCGGCUGGAGACGUCCCCUCUCUCUGCUCUGGAGGAGAAAAAGAGGGAAAACCACUCAUCGCUGGGAGCAGCAUGACAGCCAGAGCCACUUUCUACAAACCAGAUCGAUUGAUAGUGCUGGGGCAAGAAUCAAUUUCCCAAACUCAGGUGUCGGAGAGAGAGCAGCUGUCGGGACCUGCUGUCACUGUGGUCGCCGGGUUGCAGCCGCGGAGAGCGUGUGUGCUCGAAAGUCCGGUUCCCGUCGUGCUAGCCUCAGACAGCAUGUGCAGAGCCUUCCUCUGCCCUCUCCGACGUGGUCCUGCCUCUUUGGCUGUCAUCUUUUUUUAAAAGUUGUAGUGAAAUAUAUAUAACAUAAUAUUCA